AGUGAUAGCUUUCGAACUUAAUCUUAUUUUUUAUUCGAGGUUUUUAGAUGUUAUUAUAAUAAUAUCGGCAUGCCUUUAUUCAUUACAUCUAAAGUUGUAUUCGCUCUGUAUCGCACCAUUUCAGAGUCAAUAAAAAAGAGUACUACCUCUC
rnacentral:snRNA from 1 species